rnacentral:miRNA from 1 species
UAUAAAACAAAUCAUGAAUGUUUUUAUUCGUGCAAUGGUAAGAAUAUUUUCAUUCGGUGAAAGAAGGAAUGUUCCAUUCAACUCGGCUGUCGCCUCGUUGAAUGGAAUUACAUUCCAUCUUUCACCUCAUGAAAAUAUUCUUACCAUUGCACGAAUAAAAACAUUCAUUAUUUGUAUAAUA